AUUGAACGCUGGCGGCAGGCUUAACACAUGCAAGUCGAGCGGGGGAAGGUAGCUUGCUACUGGACCUAGCGGCGGACGGGUGAGUAAUGCUUAGGAAUCUGCCUAUUAGUGGGGGACAACAUCUCGAAAGGGAUGCUAAUACCGCAUACGCCCUACGGGAGAAAGCAGGGGAUCUUCGGACCUUGCGCUAAUAGAUGAGCCUAAGUCGGAUUAGCUAGUUGGUGGGGUAAAGGCCUACCAAGGCGACGAUCUGUAGCGGGUCUGAGAGGAUGAUCCGCCACACUGGGACUGAGACACGGCCCAGACUCCUACGGGAGGCAGCAGUGGGGAAUAUUGGACAAUGGGGGGAACCCUGAUCCAGCCAUGCCGCGUGUGUGAAGAAGGCCUUAUGGUUGUAAAGCACUUUAAGCGAGGAGGAGGCUACUUUAGUUAAUACCUAGAGAUAGUGGACGUUACUCGCAGAAUAAGCACCGGCUAACUCUGUGCCAGCCGCCGCAGUAAUAC
rnacentral:rRNA from 1 species